GUGGACAGUGGGGCUCAAGUGGUUUUCUGUGACAAGGAUGAGGCUGGGGGCCGGGCUGUGGAGCAGGAACUCUUGGGCACUGUCUUCAUCCCCGGUGACGUGACUCAGGAAGGAGAUUUACAGACUCUGAUUUCUGAGACUGUCUCUCGAUUUGGUCACCUGGAUUGUGUGGUGAAUAAUGCCGGCUACCACCCACCUGCACAGUUGCCAGAGGAGACCUCUGCCCAGGGCUUCCGCCAGCUGCUGGAGGAGAACCUCCUGGGGGCAUACACCUUGAUCAAGCUUGCCCUCCCCCACCUUCGGAAGAGUAAAGGAAAUAUCAUCAACAUCUCCAGCCUGGUCGGGGCCAUCGGCCAGUCCCAGGCACUAACCUAUGUGGCCACCAAGCAUCUCCCCAGGAAACAUCUGGACUCCACUGUGGCAAGAGCUUGCGGCUGCAACUUCAGACCCCAGGGCCACCAUUCUAGAAGGCACCUUGGCCCAGCUUCAGCCCCAACACCUUAGGCUCUCAAUCCACUUACGGUUCAUCCAUCACUCAUGAAAACAACUUGCACCUUUCACCCCAGCACUACGGAAGCAGAGGCAGAUGGGUGUCUGUGAGUUUGAAGCCAGCCUGGUCUACAGAGUGAGUUCCACGACAGCCAAGGCUACACAAAGAAAAACCCCUGUCUUG
rnacentral:lncRNA from 1 species